CUAACCCUAUUUUCAAACACCCACAGUCUCCUAUGUUCCAUCAGCACCGCCACUCAAUUUCCUUCUCCCCUCUUCAUUGAGUUCACAAACAUCACUGAGAGAGAAAGAGAUCCAAGAAGAGAGAGCACUGACGGGAGAGGAAGACCGCGUAGCUCGCCGCCGCCGCGCCACGCCCAACCGCGUCACUGGUUGCCGGCUGCGCUUGCUGUUUGCGCCAUGCCACUGCCCAAUCGAACUGCUGCAUGUGAGAAGCUGUGCCGUCAUUGUCGUUGCAGCCCCAUCCAUGGAUCCCGAGCCCGCACCUUGCCGCCGCGUUGUUGUUAGGGAAAAGGGAGACGCGAUGAUAGGGAAAGGGAGGAGCUACAGCCGCCGCGCCUGGUCUCCGUUGUCGCUGAACUUCGACCGCCGCCGUUCCUGCCGCCGUUGAAGCCACGGUUGCUGUCGUCUUUGAGUGCCAGAGAAAGAAAGAGAGCUCAAGGAAGAGAAGGACGCAAUAGAGGUGAAAAACGUUGUUCUGCUAUGCAUCGUCGCCGUUCUGGGCUGCACCGCCGUGGAUGUGGCCGCCGGAAACUGCCGCGAGAACCUCUAUCUUCUGGUGUAGGGUUGAGUUCCGAUGAUUUCAUGUCAAAAUUAAGGUUGCCAUUGAACCACCGUAACUUCUGGCCGUGCCUCUGUCGCCGGACAACACCGCUGCCGCCUGGAACCUCCAUUGAAGUCUGUAUCUGUGUGGAUGUAUGAUCACAUGGUCACUGCAAGUUUUUCUGUCCUGGGCCACCAUUAGAGCCGCCCAACCGGUGUUGAAAUCGCUGCUGCUAUGUGUUCUUUUAUAAGAUCAAAAGCCGAGCUUACACGUAGCAUUUGAAGCUAUUUCUGCUUUUGGGAAAGCAAGCGGAGCAGAGGCUUCAGUUGCUGCUGAAUUUGGGCUGAGAGAAACGAGUUCAGUUGACGCGUUUGGAUUAUGGUUUCGCGUAUUGAGGAACCGGAUGAAGAAGCAUUAAGAAGAGUUAUACUGUGUUUGGUUUAUAUACUGAUGUAUUAAUUAGAUUAUUUUCUUCCCUCGUCCUUAUUAUUACAAGUUUGUAAGAGGGAUAGGAAUUGUAUGUUUUAUAUGUAUAAUAUAUUGAAUUAUUAUGUAAGGAGUCUUGUAUAUGAAUCUAUGCCUAUUUGUAUUUUUUCUUAAGUUAAAGUGUUUAUUUCCGGUUUUCAAGGAAAUCAGCGACACAGUGUCGAGUCACAGGCUCCUAUUUUAGUAUUUAGUAUGUGAAGUAGUCGUAAUACUCCUUGCUAUCAGAGUAGCGCAGCCGGA